rnacentral:rRNA from 1 species
UUGUUUCUCCACUGCCGUUUUACACAACAAGUUUGGGCACGCUUCAGAUCUUGGACCGGCGCCGAUUUCCUUAUCCCCGAUAACACCUUUGCCUCCACUCGGGAGUGGUGGUUGCAGACUAGGGCUCUCAUUCCCAAGCACAUCCGAAGGAAUUUUGACAUGGUGGUGCUCUUGAUGCAUUGGAGGAUAUGGAAAGAGAGGAACUCCAGGACCAGGUGGCAGCUUCGCCGUCCGGCGUUCUGGAGCGGAUAG